UGAGGAAUAACAGUGCAAUCCUCCUUUGGCAGAAAGAUCAUGCACAUGCAUACUUCUGUUUUGCCAAAGGAGAAUUGCCCUGCCAUUCGCUC
rfam:Vitis vinifera, whole genome shotgun sequence of line PN40024, unoriented chromosome 10, chr10